rnacentral:misc_RNA from 1 species
AGUUCCCAUUAUUUGAUCAGUCAUAUACCCACGUUAGCAAAACAAAAUUACUUCUUAAAAUUCACAACACUCUCAAGCAUUAGGGGAAACAGUACACUGUAAGAGAAUAAAAAUUUUAAAAAUUAAACAAAAUUUCAUCAUUAUAUUAAAAGAAAGUCUGAAGUUUAAAAAUUAAAGAAAAAAACAAAAAAGAACGGCUUUAAAAAAGCUACACGUCAUCAUGCAUGUGCAAAACCUUAAGUCAUGCAUUUGGAUAUAAAUAUGCAUCUGCAUAU